GGGGAGGCGCCAAAGUAGGAGAGUUGGGGCGGACUGUAAAUCCGUUGGCUUACGCCUUAGGGGGUUCGAUUCCCUCCCUCCCCA
rnacentral:tRNA from 2 species